UGAAAAUUUAAAUUUAAUUGUCAGAUUAGUAUUAGUUAAGUUCUUUAAAAUUAAAAAUUUUGGCAGUAUUUUAGUCUUUUCAGAGGAACCUGUUCUAUAAUUGAUAAUCCACGAUUAAUUUAACUUAAUUUUAGUUUAUAUAUCGUCGUAGUUGAGUAUUUUAUAAGAAUAAUAAUAUUCAAAAUAUUUUAUUAAAAAAUAAAUCAGAUCAAGGUGUAGCGUAUAAUUAAGAAGAAAUGGGUUACAAUUUUUAUAAUAUUAAAUUUAUUAUUGAAAAUAAUAAUGAAAUUGGAUUUGAAAGUAAUUAAUUAUAUAUUUUAUUAAUGAUUUAGCUCUAAAAUAUG
rnacentral:rRNA from 1 species